UCGCGGUACCUCCUUAAGUCUCAUUCGUCGGGCACUGCUGGGCUGAGGCUCACGUUUGAACACUGGAGAAUGGAAGAGCAUCUCAUUGGAGGACGCCCACCCAGCCAGAUCAAUGAUUUUGUUAAACCAAACACCAAAUCCUUCAUGGUGCCGCCUGCACAAAUAAAGCCUUUAAAGCCUGAUUUCUCAUCUUGGAACCAGUCUUUGCAAAUCACUGGCCUCUCACCAUCCUUCAUUACAGUGAUAGUCCAGCAUCUCAUAACUGAUCCUGAGGAAUUCAGUUGCCUCCCAGGGUGAAUACAGGUUGUCCUGAUGAUGACAUGUUCCUUUAUCUUAUGGUGCCCACAGAUCUGCCUGGGGACAAACUAGUGGAAAGAGUUGAAAGUGGAGCACCUUCUGUUCCUGUGUACAACUGAAAAGCCUCCAGAGUUAAGAGGUACUGUUACCAGUAACCUGCUUGUUGAAAGGUCCAGCACCUUAUCUGGAGCCCAAGAAUAAUUUGAGGGAAACUGGAGGCUGUGUUUCUGCUCAACUCCAGUCUGAAGUCAGAGGUGAGUAAACUU